rfam:Monoraphidium neglectum strain SAG 48.87 mitochondrion, whole genome shotgun sequence.
UCUCCAAUAGCUCAGGGGUAGAGCGCCAGACUGUUAAUCUGUGGGUCGUUCGUUCAAUUCGAACUUGGAGAG